ACGGUCUUCCCCUCCCCCUCUCCCACACGAACGACCUGCGGACUCCUCUCAUCUCUCCCGACGGACGAACCCUAGGGCAGGGUGCCAAGCAAGGUGGCGUGCAGAGUGCUCUUCAGCCGUUGCAGCAGCGGCCAUGGCGGCCCAUCGCGUGGCGGCGUGGAUUCACUAAGGCGCAACGAGUCUUCAUCUUCGCCAACUCCACAGGUUUAGGUUUAGGUUGAGGAUGAGGGGGUGACGCUGCGAUGCUGUGCAUGCAAGGUGGUGGUGCGACGGGAGCAUCAUCGUCCUGCCGAAUCUAAUCCCUAUCGAAGCCCAUGGUGACUUGAGGGGUGAGGGCGCUGUGCUGAGACAUUCUGAUUGGAAUUGCCACAAAUCAGAUAGUAGUUGGCUGACGACAAAAGCUAUGGUAGUGGUGAGGCCAACAGCAGGGGGCAACAAGUACAUCUGCUACAUCUCGAUGGCCAGGUCCAGUCACCUCCGACUUUGGUUCCCUCUUUUCUUCACUCAAUCCAAUCCAUCAUGUUGAUCUGGUUGACUGUCCUCAUUUGAUCUGAUUGAUCCGUGAUUUGGUUAACUGCAUCUAGGCCCGUGCGGGAGGGAGUGCGACUGGUACGCACGAACAGGUCCCUGAUUUUGAUUGUGCCCAAAUAAUAUGGCCUAUCAGACCUGCCGAUUCCAAAAUUAGCUAUCAUCUGAUUAAUUAUCUGAUCUGUCAAUCUGUGCAUACUACUAUCAACAGUCCACAUGGAGACUGCAGAGCAAAUUAGGAGAGGCCUCCAGGAGGCCAGCAAGGAGCAGGCCGCUGGUUGCAUAAUUCUUGCCUUUGUGUUCCUGAUUCCUAAUUCCUAAAGUCUAAAGAACAAGAGCGUAACUCUGAAGCAUUAGCACGAGAUUUUGUUGGCAGCAACAGUGAGAAAUCAGGAACAUCUAAGGCAGCAUAGACAUAAAAAAAUGAAGGAAUACCUUAGUUCACCACAGAGAAAAAGCGUUGGAGGAGUCGGGCAGCAACACGACGUCAACCAUGUGUGAUGCCAUCCUCCGACAAGGCUCGUGCAUGGUCAUGUGAUCUGGUAUCAUCAGCACCUUGGACAACCUCAGCCUCGGACAAGCCUCGUGCACGGUCGUGUGAUCCGGUAUUGUUGCUACUAUCAUGUUAAGCUCAAAAUUCUUGCAAAGCAAAAACUUUGUCUGUAGUGUUGGGUGUUUGGGGUUGGGGAUCUGCUGCCCAGGUUCCUUCAACAAAGAAUGAGCAGGCACAUUGGAAAUGCUCUGAAGGCACUAGGGGGGGCCAUGGUGGUAGACGGCGCACACAGCUGUCCAUGCUCUAAAGGCGUAGCUGCAGGCUACGGACAGCUCCUACGCAUGCGAUGUGGGCGUAAGCGCAUAGCGGCAGGCUGCGGUGGGACGACAACAACCUGCAACUGUGAGGCGAUGGGUCCCAUAGCCUCCCCGCUGUCAUCCCCUAUAUGGCGGUGACUGGCGAGCGGACUUGGCCCCAGCACCCUCCACAUUAUGAGAAGUUGCUUACUGUCAUGUUGGUGCAGGUAUGAUGUUCGACAAAAUAUCUCUAAAGUUGCAGUCUCACCUGAUAAAAAAUGUUUAUUUUUUCUGUCACGUGAUGACGCUCAAUGUGUCUUAGUGGGUGUUGUUGUGAACUAUUGCUGCUUGGUCAACAUUUGCCUGCCACUGCUAAUUCCCAUAUAACUGUUUCCAUGUGUCUAAUUUUGGUAUGACUGUUUCCUGCAAAAAAAAUGUUGCAUCUUCAAUUUUCCAAGGUACAGUGGUCUCUUGGUUGCCUGCAAUGGUCUUAAACAUUGUAUGGUUCCAUUAUGUUAAGACUUAAAAUAAAACUUGUAUGCACUAUUGAUUUUUCUGUGUGAUUGCUUCAACAAAAGCUAGCGUAUUCAACUAUAGUUCUGGUUAUUCUUUUUACUGCAUUUAGAACUAACAACUAUACUUGUGGUCAUUUAAGAUUAAAGAGGUUCUGCUAAUCAAGGCAUCGACAGUGGCACAGAUCAUCAUGGACGGAGCAAUUUUGUACACUCUAACUUUACUGGUCAUAGAAUAUGUCCUCUUUUUUACAUUUAGAUUUAGAUAUAAUUUUCUCUAACCUUCUCUUCACUUCAUUCUAUAAAAUAGAUAGCACUGCACCAAGGUCGCUAGGUUCAGGGUCAGGUUUCAGUUAGUUCUAAAUAGAGGCAAACAAUUGCACGUCAAGGGGGACAAACUCAUGUUAUUUAUCAUGUUUUCCUGAUUAAACUAAAAUUAUCGUGGCUACAAAUUAUGGAUUUAGAAUGAAUUAUAGUUUGUGUAUUUUUCUUAGUCAACAAUUAGAAGACUCACCACAAAAAUAUUGUGGCUGUCUUAACCUGCCAAAAGGCAGUGUACAGCUGCAAUGCUUGCUCUUCUAGAUGGCAAAUCAAAAGAUAAGUGGUUAAACCCCGCAUCGGUUAUUUUCAGAUUUCCUAGCACUCUGGGAUCCACAGAGAAGCACAACUCAUAGAAGGUAACCACCAAUCAAAUCUUGUUGCCAUAUAUGUACGUUCGCACGUCCAUGAAUAUCUCAGCCUCCGGUGCAUGAUGAAGCCGACACUGCUCCUGCCCCAACGGGCCACGACCUCAUGUUCCACCCCUGCGUCCACUUUCACAUCGACGUCGUCACUGUCCAUGCCGAGUUCACGGCCACUGGACACUAAGAAAGUUGACAUCAAGGUUGGAAUCACCUCGACGACGGUCUCCUCUCAUCUCCCCACCUUAGCUUGAUAAUGAUGACUUCUCUGUCCAUGUGUUUUUUUCUUUUUUUAUAAAGGAACAUAUGCCUCCGAGUAUAACGUCUGCAGAUUGGAACUCAAGGUGGAGAGUUCUGAUUGGUUGAACUUAUAUUAGAUCAUGUUUGAGAUUUGAUAACAGAAAAUAUAAUUUUAGAGUAUUUUCAAUAUGAUGGUAACAAAUUAUGAGUUUGUUUACUUGUGUAUGCUUUAAUAUAUAUAACGUAUCUAGCACCAAUCUAUAGUAAUCAUGAUCCAUGGUUGUAGUUGUUAUGUAAUAGCACUUCAGAUCCUUUGUGUUCACUUCAUUUGAUUCUCUUUUUGUUUAUGGAUGUUGAGAGCUUCAUAGUUUAGAUAUAAAAUUAAAAAUUUACAUGUCGGCAAAUAACUAUAUGGAUGUAAUGUUAUCUCGUCAUGUAGGCAAAAGACAAGGCAUGUUUGUUUUGGGGGUGCUUCAGUGCUCCACUGCUACUAGAAUGAGGAGAUAACAUAUUGCUUGGUUUACAAAUAUGUAUUCUUUAUUUAGUUUGUGCUAUGAUUAAGUUGUGGUUAGGUCAUGAACGCUUCUGAACUUUCUACCACAUGCAAAGGAAUGAUGGAAAGCACACACUUUCUUGAGAAAGUGUCAAGGAUCUUUGGAAAGAAUGAUGAGAUCAUCUUCCGAUGAGCCCAAAGAAGAACGUGAAUCCUAUGCAGCAAUGGCGCCCACAGCGGGAGGGUUGGCUCAAGUGCAACAAACAAGGACAAGAGUGUACGGGGUGGUUCUCUGAAACGACCUAGGUCUCUUUGUUGGAGCACGGCUGAGAGGUGGUACCCCCAUGGCUUUGAUGCAUUGACCUGAAAGCUUUUGACUUGUGGGCAUAGUGCUGCUCUAGCGUGAGACAAGAGGGUGCUGCAACUUAUCCUGGAGACCGAUAGCCAAGAGUUUGUGAAGUUAUGGAAGGAGGGCGCCAACCAACAAUCAUGGAUUGCGCUAAUCAUCAAGGAAACCUAGAGAGAUUAGCUCAUGUUUUGUAGAUUUUUCUAUGAUGAUACAAGUCGCUUUUGUAACUGAGUUGCUCAUGUGUUAGCUAAGCAAGUCUUGUAACUGAGUUGCUCAUGUGUUAGCUAAGCAAGUUUCAAGGCACGCAGUAUUGCCCAUAUGACAGGCAUUAAUAUCUACAUAUAUACUUGAACCCAUGUAUAGCAUUACACAUAUGACGAUUAAUUUUACAAACUUUGUUUUUUAUUAAAUGUCA